rnacentral:rRNA from 1 species
AGCUCCAAGAACGUACAUGUAAAUUGUUGCGGUUAAAAAGCUCGUAGUUGGAUUUCUGUCGAGGGCAGGCGGUCGGGCCUUCGGCCUUGUAUCUGUUUUGUCAACGGCAUCCUCUCUGUUUACGUUUUUGUGCUUGAUUGCGCAUGGCGGGAAUAGAGACUUUUACUUUGAGGAAAUUGGAGUGUUCACGGCAGGCAUCCGCCUGAACAUUUUAGCAUGGAAUAAUAAUAUAGGUCAGCUCGGCUAUUUUGUUGGUUUCUAGAUGGGUUGAAAUGAUAAAUGCGAGCGGUCGGGAUUCUUUUUAUGGGGUCGCUAGAGGUGGAAUUCUUUGAUUGACCUCAGAAAAACUGCUGCGAAAGCCUCGAAAUCAGGACGCUUUGG